rnacentral:lncRNA from 1 species
GGAGGAGGUAUGCUUCUAACAAGAAGUUAUAUGCAAGUGAAGAGUUAGUUACAGGACAGAUGGCAUCUGGAGCCAUCUGACUUCUGACUCCUCUCCAAGGUGAAGAUGACCCUGAAAGGUAAACACUUUGAAUCAGUCCAGACUUCCUGGCAGCCAUGAUAAUGCAGCUAAAGAUGGC